AUUGAACGCUGGCGGCAGGCCUAACACAUGCAAGUCGAGCGGAUGACGGGAGCUUGCUCCUUGAUUCAGCGGCGGACGGGUGAGUAAUGCCUAGGAAUCUGCCUGGUAGUGGGGGACAACGUUUCGAAAGGAACGCUAAUACCGCAUACGUCCUACGGGAGAAAGCAGGGGACCUUCGGGCCUUGCGCUAUCAGAUGAGCCUAGGUCGGAUUAGCUAGUUGGUGGGGUAAUGGCGCACCAAGGCGACGAUCCGUAACUGGUCUGAGAGGAUGAUCAGUCACACUGGAACUGGGACACGGUCCAGACUCCUACGGGAGGCAGCAGUGGGGAAUAUUGGACAAUGGGCGAAAGCCUGAUCCAGCCAUGCCGCGUGUGUGAAGAAGGUCUUCGGAUUGUAAAGCACUUUAAGUUGGGAGGAAGGGCAGUAAGUUAAUACCUUGCUGUUUUGACGUUACUGACAGAAUAAGCACCGGCUAACUCUGUGCCAGCCGCCGCCGUAACAC
rnacentral:rRNA from 1 species